GACGAACGCUGGCGGCGUGCCUAAUACAUGCAAGUUGAGCGCUGAAGGUUGGUACUUGUACCAACUGGAUGAGCAGCGAACGGGUGAGUAACGCGUGGGGAAUCUGCCUUUGAGCGGGGGACAACAUUUGGAAACGAAUGCUAAUACCGCAUAAAAACUUUAAACACAAGUUUUAAGUUUGAAAGAUGCAAUUGCAUCACUCAAAGAUGAUCCCGCGUUGUAUUAGCUAGUUGGUGAGGUAAAGGCUCACCAAGGCGAUGAUACAUAGCCGACCUGAGAGGGUGAGCGGCCACAUUGGGACUGAGACACGGCCCAAACUCCUACGGGAGGCAGCAGUAUGGAAUCUUCGGCAAUGGACGAAAGUCUGACCGAGCAACGCCGCGUGAGUGAAGAAGGUUUUCGGAUCGUAAAACUCUGUUGGUAGAGAAGAACGUUGGUGAGAGUGGAAAGCUCAUCAAGUGACGGUAACUACCCAGAAAGGGACGGCUAACUACGUG
rnacentral:rRNA from 1 species